rnacentral:rRNA from 1 species
GACGAACGCUGGCGGCGUGCCUAAUACAUGCAAGUCGAGCGCAGGAAACUGACGGAACUCUUCGGAGGGAAGGCAGUGGAAUGAGCGGCGGACGGGUGAGUAACACGUAAGGAACCUGCCUCAAGGAUUGGGAUAACUCCGAGAAAUCGGAGCUAAUACCGGAUAGUUCAACGGACCGCAUGGUCCGUUGAUGAAAGGCGCUCCGGCGUCACCUUGAGAUGGCCUUGCGGUGCAUUAGCUAGUUGGUGGGGUAACGGCUCACCAAGGCGACGAGGCAUAGCAGACCUGAAAGGGUGAUCGGCCACACUGGGACUGAGACACGGCCCAGACUCCUACGGGAGGCAGCAGUAGGGAAUCUUCCACAAUGGACGAGAGUCUGAUGGAGCAACGCCGCGUGAGUGAUGAAGGUUUUCGGAUCGUAAAACUCUGUUGUAAGGGAAGAACACGUACGAGAGGAAAUGCUCGUACCUUGACGGUACCUUACGAGAAAGCCACGGCUAACUACGUGCCAGCCGCCGCAGUAA